UGGGUAACCUGCCUCAAAGAGGGGAAUAGCCUCCCGAAAGGGAGAUUAAUACCGCAUAAUAUGUUUAAGUCACAUGACUUUAACAUCAAAGGAUUUUCUUUUAGAACUUCCACUUUGAGAUGGACCCGCGGCGCAUUAGCUAGUUGGUGGGGUAACGGCUCACCAAGGCAACGAUGCGUAGCCGACCUGAGAGGGUGAUCGGCCACAUUGGAACUGAGACACGGUCCAGACUCCUACGGGAGCAG
rnacentral:rRNA from 1 species